rnacentral:rRNA from 1 species
UACGAAGGGGGCUAGCGUUGCUCGGAAUUACUGGGCGUAAAGGGCUCGUAGGUGGCCAACUAAGUCAGACGUGAAAUCCCUCGGCUUAACCGGGGAACUGCGUCUGAUACUGGAUGGCUAGAGUUUGGGAGAGGGAUGCGGAAUUCCAGGUGUAGCGGUGAAAUGCGUAGAUAUCUGGAGGAACACCGGUGGCGAAGGCGGCAUCCUGGACCAAUUCUGACGCUGAGGAGCGAAAGCCAGGGGAGCAAACGGG